UUUCCUGCCUCCUCCCACUGCACAGGGGGGUGGAAUAGGGUGCUCUGAAGAGCCUAAGCCUCUGUCAUGGCCCACCAAACACAAAAAUAAUGACAACAAAACGCAUAACAAGUCUCCUAGAUGAGGGCUUUUCCCCACUGCCCAUGAAGCUGGCUGUCCCACCUCCUUGACCUAGCUGCUCCUGUGGAUACAGGAGAGCCAGGAAGUGUGUGUGUGUGUGUGUGUGUGUGUGUGUGUGUGUGUGUGUGUGUAUGGGGGGAGUUGCUGUCCUUUCUCCUCCUUAGCCUCCGUCCCCACUUCUCUCCCUGUCCAGGGCUGCAUCCAGUAGCCUAGAGGCUGGACUUUCUUUGAGAUCUCUAGGAUCCUUUUGCCUCCAGGCAAACUACCUUAAUCCGAUCCACCAUCCUCACUGCCAAUGCGGCCAGACCGAGAGCGCCCCCUCUAGGAGGACUCGAGGAGCAGCAGCCAGUACAAAGCAAGAGGUGUGCUUUACCCACCUGGGUUCUACAGUGCAGGAGCAGCCUUCAUCCAGAUGUUCACUAAAUGUGCUCAAGGGUCACACCUCAGGACACAAUUGGACUGUAGGGGAAGAGGACUGCCUGGGGGAUUCAGGCAGAGUUAAUAAAGUUGAUCUGGAAGGCAGGGGCAUGGAAGAGAAGAGAGCAAGGUCAUGCCUGCCUCUGGGAAAAGUAGUAUCUGUGUGAUUCACAUGAUGCUUUGGACACCCCAAAGCCUCCAACUGUCCCCAGCUUAACCUGGGGCCUCGGCUUGACUUUGUCAUACCCUACAAAACACCAUCGUUUAGUCCUCCCUGUAAUCCUAGCCCUGACUCAGCCAGGCAAUCUGAACCUUAGUCACCAGUAUGGUGUCCAAGAUAACAUGCACUGGUUGCACAUGCCAAAUCACAUUUUAAAUGCUCAACAGCCAUGCAUGGCUAGUGACUACCUUGUUGGAAAAUACAGACGAAGGAUGUCUCCA